ACUGACUCCUUGGAAAAGACCCUGAUGCUGGGAAAGAUUGAAGGUAGAAGGAGAAGGGGAUGACAGAGGAUGAGAUGUUUGGAUGGCAUCACCAACUCAAUGGACAUCAGUAAGAGCAAGCUCCGUGAAUUGCUGAUGAACAGGGAAGCCUGGCAUGCCACAGUCCAUGGAGUCACAAAGAGUUGGACAUGACUGAGCGAAUGAACUGACUGAACUGAACCCUACGCUUCCAGAGGGCAUUCACAUUCCUUGGCUUGUGGCCUCUUCUCUAUCUUUAAAGCCAGCAAUGAUUCAAAGCACAAAUGAAGGUCUACUGAAAACUUCCAGAACUUGGAGAUCUAUUUCUAAUCCGAGGGGAAGACAGAAUCUGCUUUGGCUCAUCACAUUUUUCUAUAUCCUUUGAGUGCUAACCACAGGAAAUAUUUUUAAACUAGCAAGUCAAGAUGUAACUCUUUCUUUCAUUCCAGAAUCUGACUCUCCUCUGAGGCAACAUGUGACACUGACUAUGAAAGGAAUAGGAAGCAAAAAGAAAAAUGUGAUUUCAGCCACGAAUAGAAGACUGAAAAAACUAUCCUUAAAUUAGUAGAGCUUUGUAUAUAGAUGUUGGUUUCCUAGAGUUAGGCUCUUAACGAUU